rnacentral:rRNA from 1 species
CCUACGGGAGGCUGCAGUGGGGAAUAUUGGUCAAUGGGCGCAAGCCUGACCCAGCAAUGCCGCGUGAAGGAAGAAGGCUUUCGGGUUGUAAACUUCUUUUACAGGGGGAGAGCAGUAGACGGUACCCUGAAAACAAGCCACGGCUAACUACGUGCCAGCAGCCGCGGUAAUGCGUAGGGGGCAAGCGUUGUCCGGGGUUACUGGGUGUAAAGGGCGUGUAGCCGGGAAGGCAAGUCAGAUGUGAAAUCCGGAGGAUCAACCUCCGCAUUGCAUUUGAAACUGUGUUUCUUGAGUACUGGAGAGGCAGACGGAAUUCCGUGUGGAGCGGUGAAAUGCGGAGAUAUAAGGAGGAACACCAGUGGCGAAGGCGGUCUGCUGGACAGCAACUGACGGUGAGGCGCGAAAGCGGGGGGAGCAAACAGGAUUAGAUACCCGGGUAGUC